CAGAUGACUCCACAGAGUUAAUCAGUGACACGGGGCAGUGGUCCAUGAACCAAAAUACUAUUGGUAGACAGGUUGCACAGUGGACAGAUGGUUGGUGGGAAUAGGUAGGCAAGACAAAACAAGGGGAAGGGGGGAAAUGUUAGCUUAAAGUUGUCAUACUGUUCCACUCUCAAACAACAUCAGUGUACGUCAAACGCGAGGAGCUAGAAGCAUAACAGCACGAGGUUAGCGCGGCUGCUGGGUUAGUGUAGCUACUGUGGAAUUAAGCGCAGCCGCCUUGGAGGUAACACAGCUAUGUUGGAGUUACCAUAGCACCGUGGUGGCAUAAGCGCAGUUACCUUGGGGAAAGUGCAGCUACAGUGGAGUUAGCGCAGCUACAUUGGAGUUAGCAUAUCAACAGUUGGGUUAAUGUAGCUACAGUGGAGUUAGCACAGCUACAGUGGAGUUAGCGUAUCUACAGUGGCGUUAGCUCUGCUGCUGUUGAGUUAGCACAGCUACUGUGGAGUUAGCGUAUAUUAGCGCAUAUCAGCACCAUCCAAGAGCAGCUAAGCCCGGCUGCCUCGGUGUGAAGUCUGGUGUCUGGUGACACUGGAAACAUGUCGGCUAUGGAGUUGGCGCCUGCACCGCCAUUCAUCCUCAAUUAAAUCCACCACCGCAUACACGUGUACGCACACACACACACACACACACACACACACACACACACACACACACACACACACACACACACACACACACACACACACACACACACGUACACACACACACACACACACACACACACACACACAUAGCCAAAAGACACAUGCGACGCGACAAGCACACACAAAAAACACAUGCAACACACACGCAUUAAUCUUUAUCAUUCUUUUAGAUUACUUCAUGCCGGUAAUAUUAUCAAUGUGCACAUUGAAAUCUAAACCAAACAAGGCCCAUUUAUGGCAAGUUGCACCAGCUGAUAUGAGGCUUCUGAAAGGGCAUCACAUACCAGCCAGGUCCCUGGACAGACAGACAGGUAGUCAGAUAGACAGGCAGACUGCCAAGUAGACAGACAGACAGACAGACAGGUAGACAGACAGACUGACAGAAAAAUAGGUAGACAGACAGGCAGACGGGUAGACAGACACAUAGACAUGCAAGCAGGCAGAAACACAGACAGACAGACAAACUUUCCACUAAUUGUAAGCACCCAGGAGAUGAUUAGCAGGAACAACUCGUGACUUCCACGGGGGGGUGACUGCUCGCCUCGGUUACUGUAACAUGGAAACUUCCGUCCCGUGUUAAAAUUUCCAUGAAUAUCCAAUCGACUCGUGUGCGCCAUUUGAGGUGCCCCCUUACACCACCAGAUUAGCCAUUCAAAGCCAUAACGCAAUCUGCCUUCUCAUGACCUCACACACGGGUGGGUCCGCCCGGACGCAUGACGGGCAGAGCAGCCUGACGGUUGGUUCAGUCCAUCGGGUAGGCCGGUGGGCGGUGGCUCAUUCCAGUCGUCAUCCACAGCACACACGCCUGUGUGUGAUGUCACUAGUGGGUCGAUUUCGAAAUGGCUUCUAGUGGCUAAUCAACAUCACACCUGGUGGAAAAAUACAUUCAGGGCAUUUAGCAGACGCUUUUUAUCCAAAGCGACUUACGAUAAGUACAUUUGUCAGAAGAAGGAGAAACAAUAUAUCGCUAUCGGUACAGUGAGGAGGUUCAUAGAGUCAUGCCAAGCACUAACAAUUGUUAGUUUAACCUACUCUGAUGUGCCCUCACCAUGAUGUACAACAAAGAUAGAAAGAGAAGAGGUGUGACUUUGAAAAUAGGUGCCCUUUAAAGGUCCCUCAUACAAUCUGAAAUGGAAGAGAUGCCAAGUGUUGGAUCCUGUCAGAUGCGUUGCAAUGAGAAAAUGGGUUCUGGGAAACAAGAAAGUAUAAUGUUUUAAAAAAUACUUCAUAAGACAAGAAUAUAAGGGAUGGUAAGUCCUGUUUGAUUGGAUUUGCUACCCACUCCCACAUACACUAUCUCCCUUGUCUGAGCUUGUGGACCUUAAAAGACAAACUCACAGCCGCACAGAUAACACAACAUGACACGUACACCAAAGAGCCUCAUAACCUUUUACAUAAGACUCCUUUGGUGGGCGUUUCCCGCUCAAUGAAACACACAUUCACACACACAUCAAGCAACACACACACACACACACACACACACACACACACACACACACACACACACACACACACACACACACACACACACACACACACACACACACACACACACACACACACACACACACACACACACACACACACGCACACAAAGCACCCAAAGAUUACACACACAUACGUACAUAGAACACACACAUAAACAUACACACACACACACACACACACACACACACACAGUGCACACACACACAACUACAUACAACAGACAUAAAUACACAUAAAAUACACAUCUCACAUAAAACACACUCAAACACACAUAUAGCAUAAAACACAACACAGAAACGGGCACACCCACACAAACACACAAAACACAGAACACACACUGUAUAUACAUUAACCAGAGAACCAGCGUGACUUUUACCAUUCGGUAGGUCCUGCAACGAAACAUACACAGACACACGACAGGGUAGUAAAGGUUAGAUAACAUUCCGGCCAUUCCAAAAAUAUUCCACAAAAACAUACAAAAUAUAAAUCAAAGCUCACA
ensembl:lncRNA